rnacentral:tRNA from 1 species
GCCGAGGUAGUCUAGUCCGGUAAGGCGGUGGUCUCGAAAACCACUGGCGGUCUCCGCCUCGGGAGUUCAAAUCUCUCCCUCGGCGCCA